rnacentral:rRNA from 1 species
AUACGAAGGGGGCAAGCGUUGUUCGGAAUAACUGGGCGUAAAGCGCACGUAGGCGGAAUGUUAAGUUAGAGGUGAAAUCCCAGGGCUCAACCCUGGAACGGCCUUUAAUACUGGCAAUCUAGAGACCGAGAGAGGUGAGUGGAAUUCCGAGUGUAGAGGUGAAAUUCGUAGAUAUUCGGAGGAACACCAGUGGCGAAGGCGGCUCACUGGCUCGGUACUGACGCUGAGGUGCGAAAGCGUGGGGAGCAAACAGGAUUAGAUACCCCAGUAGUCC